rnacentral:rRNA from 1 species
GUAACAAGGUCUCCGUUGGUGAACCAGCGGAGGGAUCAUUAAAGAGUUUACACAACUCCUAAACCCAUGUGAACUUACCUUUUGUUGCCUCGGCAGGUCGCGUUUACCCUGUGAGAGCCUACCCUGUAGGCUCUUACCUGGUGGACGCGGGCUCCCCUGCCGGCGGCCCGUUAAAUUCUAUUUAUUAUAUUAUUUCUGAAUCCAUAACUAAAUAAGUUAAAACUUUCAACAACGGAUCUCUUGGUUCUGGCAUCGAUGAAGAACGCAGCGAAAUGCGAUAAGUAAUGUGAAUUGCAGAAUUCAGUGAAUCAUCGAAUCUUUGAACGCACAUUGCGCCCAUUAGUAUUCUAGUGGGCAUGCCUGUUCGAGCGUCAUUUCAACCCUUAAGCCUCUGUUGCUUAGUGUUGGGAGCCUACAGCCCUCUGUAGCUCCCCAAAGUUAGUGGCGGAGUCGGUUCACACUCUAGACGUAGUAAAUUUUUAUCUCGCCUAUAGAUGAGCCGGCGCCUUGCCGUAAAACCCCCUAAUUUUUCACAAGGUUGACCUCGGAUCAGGUAGGAAUACCCGCUGAACUUAAGCAUAUCAUAGGAGCAAAAGAAACCAACAGGGAUUGCCCUAGUAACGGCGAGUGAAGCGGCAACAGCUCAAAUUUGAAAUCUGGCCCUCGGGUCCGAAUUGUAAUUUGUAGAGGAUGCUUUUGGUGAGGUACCUUCCGAGUUCCCUGGAACGGGACGCCAUAGAGGGUGAGAGCCCCGUCUGGUCGGAUACCGAUCCUCUGUAAAGCUCCUUCGACGAGUCGAGUAGUUUGGGAAUGCUGCUCUAAAUGGGAGGUAUAUGUCUUCUAAAGCUAAAUAUUGGCCAGAGACCGAUAGCGCACAAGUAGAGUGAUCGAAAGAUGAAAAGCACUUUGAAAAGAGAGUUAAAAAGUACGUGAAAUUGUUGAAAGGGAAGCGCUCAUGACCAGACUUGGGCUUGGUUGAUCAUCCAGGGUUCUCCCUGGUGCACUCUUCCAGCCCAGGCCAGCAUCAGUUCGCUGUGGGGGAUAAAGGCUUCGGGAAUGUGGCUCCUCCGGGAGUGUUAUAGCCCGCUGUGUAAUACCCUGUGGUGGACUGAGGUUCGCGCAUCUGCAAGGAUGCUGGCGUAAUGGUCAUCAGCGACCCGUC